AGAGAAAACAAGAAAAGAUUUUUUUUAUCCCUAACCUAUAAUUUAUUUCCAUUUAUUUAUUUUGGCAAGGCAACUGGGGUUAAGUGACUUGUCUAAGGUUACACAGCUAGGAAGUUUUAAGUCUCUGAGACCAAACUGAAUUGAAAGUCCUUUAUCCUGCACAUGUAAAUAAAAUUAAAUAAAAAGGAAUCCUAUAAUACUAUUCCAUUUGAAUAGCAUUAAAGACAUUAAGGCUUAAUUGAAUGACCAUUCAUAUAUCAUCAUUGGGAUUCCGAGUGUAAGCUAAGCAAGAUGGCAACUGAAGUCCCUUCCAACUCUUAAAUUACAUGAUUUUGUGAUUCUGUGACUGUAAUAUUUCAUCUAACGUAUAAAAUAUAUUAAAAAACUAACCAAUGUAAUCCUAUCCUAAAUUAGGAAUCUCCAACAUUUUUGCAAGGAAGACCUACUUUUUUUUGUUUUGAAGUCCCAAGACUCCCUGAUAUAGGAGGAAAAAGGAUGUGACAGUCAACUCAUCCCUUAUUAACUGUAACCUGCCUAUGAGCACCUUCAAAUGAUGAAGAGGACUACCUGUUUAAGGCCCCAACAAUGACCAAGAAGGACUUAUCCUGAACCCAAUUGGUUCAGAGUGAAUAUAAAUAACAAUUGUUUCUGUUUUGGCCAUAAACCCUGAAAGUCUUCCCCUUUCAGAUUUUUUUUUAACCAGAGAAGCAGCAGAAAAAGGAUCAAAAAAUCAUAGGCUUAAAGCUGGAAGCAGAAGAGUGUGCUGGUAAAUAUUUAACAAUCAGCUUUUGGGGGAAAAUGUAUGAAGGAUACAAUUUUCAGUUUAAUUGGCAUCAUUAACAUUUUCCCACCACUUUCUUCAAGCCUUUGGUGGUGGGGAAAAGGAAGGAGAAAUUGUAAAGCAAAAAAAGAAUAUACUUUCCUCUCCUUUCUCCCAUUAUUCUUUAUACUGAAGAGAGGUUAUAUUGGUUUUCUCUGACUUAUACACUUUCUGAAGUAAUUAAUUAAAAUGUUGGUGUCUAUAUUUUCUAAUAUCUAUAAGUUGAUGUGCAGAUUUUCUGAAUAUCUUGAUGAAUGCUAUGAAUUGGUAAAUAAUUUAUUUAUUUUUAUUUUUAGGAGUUUUUUUCGGAUUUGUCUGUCUCACCAAAAGCUGUCUCUGGCCAGCCACCAGAAGUGGAGCAGCCAUUCAUAAUAUUGCUGUUGAAUUGGGGAUUGUCAUCAAAACUUUGUCCUGCUCCAUUUCUGACCUUGACCUACUAAUGCUUUUCUCCUUAGAUAGCUGGUGGUGACCCUGCUUUGGGGACUUAACUUUGGUGCUGGGCUUAUUGUAGACACUGGAUAGGCUUUGGACCUACUGUAGCUCAGAAUUCUAGAGCUCAAGAAAUCCAUCAGUCUCACCCUCACAGGUAGAGGACCACAAGUAUGUUCACUGCUGCCCCAUAAUUGAGAAAUAAUUUGUAUAUUCUGGUUGUUCUUUCCUUUCCACCAGACUCUGCUUACUUACAAUAAUGACUUAGAGUUCUAAUUUUGUUCUGAAUCACAAACUAUGAUAAACUUUGGGAAGAUUUCACUUUUCUUUUUGUCUGUGAAGUAUAAUUUCAUUUUAAAUUUCUAAAUAAGACUUAUCAAAUUUGUUUUUUUAUAAUUAAAAUAAGUAACUGAAUCCAAAAUAUGACAUCUAUACAAAUUUCAUCAUCAAAAGUUUAGAUCCCUGACACUCAGUAAGAAAGUAAUGAGCUACAAACUCAUCUUUCCCUGCUUUUAGGAUUCACUAAUAGAACUGGAGAACAGAAAUAGGGGAAUUAUCUUUCAGAAGGUCACCACUAAUCCACUCCCCAUAAUUACAAUCUAAAUAUGAAGGAAACAUAUUUUCUAGAAAUUAGCUUCUCAGAUUGUCUUGAUGAUACCAAAAUACCAUCUCAAGAUGCAAGGAGAUAAAACACAGGUAAGUUUAAAGGAGAAAGAUAUGUGAGUGAGGAAGCCUUAGUGGUGGAACUGACUCUAAGCAAAAAUAAUAGGCAAGUAAAAUCUCUUUCACAGGUUUUUUUCUACUUCAGCUAUUCUUUUCAUGAAUACUUUUGCUCUCAGAUGCUGCCAAAAAAGUUGAGGCUUUUUGUUUGUUUUUUGUUUUGUAUAAUGAAGUGAGGAGAAAAGAUUAAAAAAAAAAAGCCUUUAAGGACUGGCUAAUGAUAGCAUUUAUUUCACUGUGAUCAGAGGAUCUUGCCCUGCUCACUUCUUGGAGUCAAUCUUCUGCUCCAUCUAUGUAUGAAGCAGAAACUGUCUUAUUGUCCCAGUGGGAAAUCUGAGAGGCAUUCAAGGACCAAAUGAAUGACUGACUAAUGAGAGUAUUUAUCCCACCAUGACAGAAAAAAUAUCUCUGAUCAGAGGAUCUUGCUCUGCUCAUUCCUUGGAGGCAACCAUCUGCUCCAUCUAUGUAUGAGGCAGAACCUGUUUUAUUGUCCCAAUGGAAAAUCUGAGAAGCAUUCAAGGUACACUUUUUGGACUUCAGCGAAGAUUUUUUUUUUUUUUUUUUUUGCUGCUAGGUUCAUUUGCUGAUAAGCUAAAAUAUUCCACACUUACUUCCAGGCCCAGAUCAACUGAGGAGUUUAAUUCUUAGGAAAUUUCUACUGGCACUUUUAAAAGUAAAACCUGUUACCUUAAAUGUUCUAUGAAACAGUAACAAUUACAAAAAAAUCUAUCUCAAAGUCCAGGUUUUAAAAGCAUCUAUCUUUUAGUGUAAAGUCCCCAAUUCUAUAUUUUCUAAGUUAUUAUUUUACAAACUUUAGAUUUAAAUUUUUUUGUUUGCUUAUCUGAUUUUUAUUUGUUUUCUCCUUGUAUCAAAUCUUUCCAGUGACAGUUUCAGCACUUUUUAGUUUUGUCCUUAGUAUACAUUUCCAAUAUGACCCUUUUACCAGAAACUAUCUAUAUUGGUAAAAUCACAGACUUGGAUGAUUUAAAAAAAAGUCUGAUAAUAGACCUUUCCCCCUUUUAUAAAUGAGCAAAAUUAGAAAACAGAAAGCAAAAUAACUUCCUUAAAAAUCAACAAAAGGCUGAGCCCUUAUUUCUGGUACGAAAUUAUCUACUGUCACAUCAUUCAUGACAUUUUAAGUUGGAAAGACACCUAGACAUAAUCUAACUUAGUCUUUAUAAUUUUACAAAUAAGGAAAUUAAAGUACAAUGAAACAUUAAAUGAGUUAUCUGAGUUCAAACAACUUGUUGAUGGCAAGGAUAGAACUAGAACCUAGACCAGGCCUCUUUAUUCUAUAUAAAACACUGAUUUUUUUUUCAAAUAAUAUUUUUUAUCCUGAGGAAAUCUGGCUAUGAAUGUCUUUUCUAAUCUCUACAGUGAUGUAACUGUCUUUUUUUUUUUUGCAUCAUUGUCUCAUUGUGCUUGUUACAUAGUAAUAGGUGCUUAAUUAACUGUGUAUCUCUAUCUCUGCCUGUCUGUGUCUCUCUUUGUGUCUCUCUGUCUCUGUUCCUGCCUUUCUGUCUCUGUCUCUGUUUUUGUCUCUGUCUCUGUCUCUAUCUGCCUGCCUGCCUGUUUUAGGAAUAUCAUAGGAUCAUGUCUAGAGCUGAAAGGUUCUAUCUUCUCCUACUAUUUAAUUUUAUAAAUUAAGUGACUUGCCUAAAUAAUAUGUAUACCAAGCAUCAGAAGCAAACUUUGAAUCCAUGUUCUUUUCCUCCAGUCCUGUGUAUGUGAUUCCUUAUCACAAUUUCUAAAAGCAGAUAUUUAGGAUUAGACAAACCUCUUAUGACUUCUCAAAGGAAAAAAAAAAAAACCAAUUAGUAUGAGGAGUCCAUUAAGCACACAAACUUUCAUAGAUUUGGCAACACUUUCUAACUGCCAGACUUCACAAGUUCAUUGCCUGACUGAACUCAAGGAUGCAGCCAAAUUCAAGGUCCCUUUUCUGAGAAUUUAAAAAACCAAUUAAUUCUGGGGCUGCAACUUUAAGCAUUCCCCUGAAUAAGAGACUGUUGACAAAUAUGUAAACUUCUCGCAAAUUGAUGGUCUCUGAGAGGAUUGCUGAGGGUUCAUUAGUGGGCAGAGCACAGCUGUCAAGUAGUCUCAUUGGCAGAGAUUUUUAAAUGAAACUUGGGAGAUGUGAACUGCUUGCCACACAGUUUUAGUCCUUAUUAGUUAUAUUUAUUUAUACCUAGCAGGAUAGACCAUCUUUUCAAUUAGAAGGCAGUAGUUCACAUUUGAUUUCAGACACUUACUAGCUAGGUGAUCACUUCACCCUGUUUGCCUCAAUUUCCUCACCUAUAAAAUGAGCUGGAGAAGAAAAAACCCCAAAUGGGAUCAUAGAGAGUUGGGAAUAGCUGAAAUGACUUAAUAACAACAAAAAUUCUUUUAAAAAAAUUAGCUGGUUCAAAAAUGAGAAAAAUAAAGAUCUAUGUGUUAAUUAGGAAUGAAGACUGAUCCUAUGGUUUCACUGAUUAUAGGGAUUUCUUAAAAGUAGAAACUCCCUCUCUAUCAAUGCAGGUGGAUGCUUUCUUUGUAAUUUAUGGGCUUAGAGAGUUACCUGGCAAGAGGUAAAGUGACAUAUGCAAUAUGUGCCUUAGGUCUUCCUUCAUUCAUUGCUGCUUCUCUUGAUCUAAAUACUGCUCAGAAAUGGAGAAGAUAAUCAUUAAUUAAUUAUUUAGACCAAGCCUUUUAUCCACUGAUUCUUAAGCUGGAAUUCACAAACUUAAAAAAAAACAAAAAACAAAAAAAAAACUUUUCUGGAUAGCAGUUUCAAGAUAAUUUGCUUCUUUUGUAAUCUUGCAUAUUUUGUUUUAUGCAUUUAAAUCCAGAGGCUUUAUCAGACCGCCAGAUUGGUCCAUGACAUUAAAAAAAAAAAAAAAGGUUAAGAACCUCAGCUAUUGAGAAUAAAGUCUAUAGGGGAAAGAGUUUGAAUGGCAGAAAUGAUUCUGAAGGGAAAUAUGUGAAGACAUGGAUACCUGCUCUCAUCUAAUGGACUUGUAUCAUGCUCAGCAACUUCACCUAGAUGCUUUGAAGAUUAAUCAGUUACCAUGUUCUAAAAACAUUUUACCAGUACAGUACAAAUAAAGAACAGGGUAAUUAAAAGGAUGGCCUAAGGCUUUCAGAGAAGACAUACAGUUUAGUAUGACACAUGAACUGAUUAAAGCCCUCUGUGUUUACUUUGAAAAAUGAGCCUCAGAAGUCUAAUGUUUUAUAGAGAACAUUAUGUGUUCAGAGGCUCUGUAAGUUCUUAUCCUAUAUUAGUGGUAGAUACAUGAUCCUUCUUUUAUAGACAAGAGCAGAAAUCAUCUCAAGAGUAGCAAAUUAUUUUAGAAGGAUGACUUUAAAAGUUGCAACACUACUUCAUUCAGCAAUUUUAGAAUAUUGAUAGACUAAGAAAACUUUUCAUGGCUAUGCCUGCAAAGUGCUUUUCUAAUCUUCCAUGAAUCAUUUUAUUCCAUCUCUGAAAGAGGUCAUUAUAAGAGUCUAUUUUGACCAACAGAGAAAUUGAAGCAUGAAAAAAUUUCCAAUCAGAGUCACUGAAUAGCAAUUUUUGCACUCAAGUCACAAAAUACAUAAUCAAAUUUACUUUUUAAAAUAAAGUCAAUUGAGUAUCAAGGGUGUGUAUGUGUUGAGGGGUGAGGGAAGGAAGAACACUAGAACAUCAUCUCAAUGAGUGGGACACAAGCAGAGCUGAGACCAAGUGGGAAUUUACACUGGGGGAGAAAGGAUAUUGUGUAGAAGCUUCUUAUUUUAAUUAAUUUCUCUUUAUAAGUAAUUGCUAGCAUGUAUAUAACCUAUAUCAGAUUGUUUACCAUUUCAGGAAUAGAGGAGGGGAAAAAGGAGGGAGGGAAAGAAUUUGGAACUCAAUUAAAAAAAAAGACAAAUAUUAAAAAUGUAAUGGGGAAAAUUUUAAUAUUAUUUCAAAAAUACCACAGUGCUAAGAUCAGGUAUUUCUAGAUUGCUAUAAGGGCUUUUGAUGUUCUCUAAAUUUUACUAUUUUAAGAAAAAGUAUUGCUUAUAUCACCCUAUCACUCAUUGUGGCACUCUUUCUAGUCAAUAAACAUGUCUCUAACACAAUAGCACAAGUAAAAAUGAGUUUCUAUUUCCCAACUUGUAGCUUGUCAUCAAUCUGGACAGAAAUCUCAAAGUCCUCUAUCAUGAAUAGUCAAUACUUUUGACUGGUUAUAUUAUAUCAUUCUUAAAGGAUAAUUUUGCCCAUCCUCCAAGAGGCUAUUCAAUCUCAAGGCAGUCUGUUAAAAAAAAAAAAAACAACUUUUUUUUCUACUUUGAUCAAAUCUAAAUAAGUGGAAAAAUGCAGACAAGAAGCAGCAACAGCAACAGGGCAUAGUGGCAGCUGCACUUCUGAUUUUAAAGACUUUGCCACCAUGAUAUAGCUAUUCUCUCAAUCUGUAACUUCACUCAGUGCCUGGGGUCUUUUCACCUGUAACAUUUCUCUGCCAUACCGACCGACCCCCUUCUUCCACUGGUAAGUUUCUUUUGGGGAUAGACCCAGGCCCUGCUUUUUCCCUAUUCCCUUUUAUGUGUUGUCUUUACUCAUUGGAAUGAAACUUCCUGUUUUUCUAAUUUCUUAUGUUGAUAUUCCCACUGCUCAACAUAGUCCUCAACAUAGAGUAAGGACUCAAUAAAUACUCAGUGCCUUUCCUUGCCUGCUUCACCUGUUGUUCUGAGCUUCUAGAAAGAGCUCUGCUAUUAGGCCCUCAUGAAUAUAAUUAGCAAAAAAAUUUAUUCUAAGUUUUAAGAUCAUAUAUCCUAUAUUCAUUAAUUUUCCUGUUAUGUGCUAGAUAUGAACUUAAUUCCUUUAGUUUUGAUUGCAAAGAACACAUCAGUGUUUGUAAAUGAGAAUAUUUACAAUUCUUGUACUAUGUAAAAUGUUUCCAUAUAUUCAAUAAGUAUAUAUUGAAAAUCUAUUGCAUGGAUAGCAUUGUGCUUUUCCUAGUUUUAAUGGACAUAUUUCAGGAUUUUAAUUUCAGCUUUUUUUUUGAAGCUAGAAAUUUAUGUUCAAAGUUAAUUUAGUUCAUGUGUGUAGAAAACUUCCAGUGUGGAAAUUCUCUCCACAAAUGCAGAUGGACAGCUAAUUAAUAAUUUGUAAUCUUAGUGAGCUACCUCUGUCUCUAUGAGGCAAGUUAUUUGUCAAUGGUCAUCCAGCUAAUAGGUAUCUGAAGUAGAGGGGUCAAAUGCUUGUCUUUCUGACUCCAAGAACAAUAGUCCCCUGUCCACUAAAUCUAGCUGCUGCAUCUCAGGUUUGAUGAUUUUAGCCUUAAUGUAGAUAAGAAAACCUGGACUUUCUCUUGUAUUCUUUUCAUCUGUUAAAGUCUUAUCCAUUCUUUAAAGACUACUUCAAAGGUGACCCUUUCUAAUAAAGACUUUUCUUAUUUUUCAUCAGGUAAUAGUUAUCUUUUCUUUCUCCAUUCUCAUAUACCACUUUGUUUGCAUUCCUUUAAUGCAUUUAUUAUCAGUAUUAUAUGUACUAAAAUUAUUUGCACAUGGCUUAUCACUCUCCUAAACUGUAAAUUUCUAUGAGAAGCAGGAGCCAAGUAUUAUCCAAAUUGCAUUUCCCCUAGUACCCAACACAAUGUUUUGUACGUAUGAGGUGCUUAACAACUACUUGCUAGUUUGAACUAAAUAGAAACUAUUUCCAAAAAAAAUUGUAUAUAAUUUAUAUUAAAAAUUUCCCAAGGAAAUUAACGAAUUUGCUAUCUGAUAUCCAAAUUCUCCAUACAAUAUCAUAAUACAAAAACUAUCAAAAUACAGACACUAUGCCAAUACAACAAAAGGGAUUUCAAAAUUUUGCUUCCAAGGGAAUAUUUGUAUAGAGAAGUAUGGGAGAUAGCAAAGAUAGCAGGGUAGCACUGGCAUAUAGGAGAAUUGGAAGGAGGUUUUUCACAUGAGUGACACCAUUGGUUCUUUCUAGAACUCAAAUCCUCUCAUGAUAGUUUCAUAAAAUCCCCCCAUCUAUAUCCACCUUGUCAAUUGCCACAGUUAAUUGUUUCCUAUCAUCCAGCUUAAGGCUUCAUAUCCUCAUUUUCUAUUCCAGUUAAACUCUAGAGUGAAAGGAGAGACCAGUUACCUAAAAUUCUACCUUUGUUUUAUAAUGACAAACCAUAUGGUCUUAGGUCUCUCCCUGAAUCUCUUUUUUUCUCAGCUGUAAGAAAUCACAAGACACAGAGCAUUCAGGUGUGAUGAAUUUUUUCACCACUAGUUUUACCACUUGGACAUUCUUAUGUCAUUUGUUAUUAUGCCACCAUUUUGGUAGGGGAAUAGUUAGAGAAAUUAGCACAUAAAACCAAAAACAGAAAUUUCAUAAUUUUUGAAAGAAUUUUCUUGAGACAGGUAGGUGAUAGAGCACUGGGCUUGGAGUAAGGAAGAUCUGAGUUCAAAUAUGGCCUAAAUACACACUAACUAUAUAAACUUAGGCAAGAUACUUAGUCUCUCUCUCUCUCUGCCUCAAUUUCCUCACUUGUAAAAUGAAGAUAAUAAUAAUACUUCCUUCUUAGGGUUCUAUGUAAUCAACACAUAUUAGAUACUUUAAAAAUACUACAUAUUAGUAUUAUUAUCAGGCUAAUGAUCUGGAUAAUUACUAAUAUUUUAGAACAUUAUAUAAUGAUAUUGGUCUUGCUUUUUCAAAUACCCUUUAUGCUGUUUGUUCUAGUUCUGCAUCAGGAUCAGAAAUGAGAAGGCCUUUAGAAAUCGUUCCAUGCAGUCAUUCUCAAAGUGUGGCCUGGGAACCCCUUUCAGAGGGUCCAUGAAGUCAAAACUAUUUUCACAAUAAUACCAAGUAGUAUUCAUUUUGAAUGUGAUAAAUGUUGAUUGUCCAGAGUACAGUUAUUUUUAGCAAGGGAGCAACUGCUUUCUUUUUUGGGUCUCUCAGAAAGAGAAAUCUCAGUCACGGGGAAGCCAUCACUUCC